rnacentral:rRNA from 1 species
UGGGGAAUAUUGCACAAUGGGGGAAACCCUGAUGCAGCAACGCCGCGUGAAGGAUGACGGUUUUCGGAUUGUAAACUUCUUUUCUUAGUGACGAAGACAGUGACGGUAGCUAAGGAAUAAGCAUCGGCUAACUACGUGCCAGCAGCCGCGGUAAUACGUAGGAUGCAAGCGUUAUCCGGAUUUACUGGGUGUAAAGGGAGCGCAGGCGGGACUGCAAGUUGGAUGUGAAAUACCGUGGCUUAACCACGGAACUGCAUCCAAAACUGUAGUUCUUGAGUGAAGUAGAGGCAAGCGGAAUUCCGAGUGUAGCGGUGAAAUGCGUAGAUAUUCGGAGGAACACCAGUGGCGAAGGCGGCUUGCUGGGCUUUAACUGACGCUGAGGCGCGAAAGUGUGGGGAGCAAACAGGAUUAGAUACCCUGGUAGUCCACACUGUAAACGAUGAAUGCUAGGUGUAGGGGGUAUCGACCCCUUCUGUGCCGCAGUCAACACAAUAAGCAUUCCGCCUGGGGAGUACGUUCGCAAGGUUGAAACUCAAAGGAAUUGACGGGGGCCCGCACAAGCAGCGGAGCAUGUGGUUUAAUUCGACGCAACGCGAAGAACCUUACCAAGUCUUGACAUCCACUUAAACUUACAGAGAUGUAAGGUGUGCUUGCACAAAGUGAGACAGGUGGUGCAUGGUUGUCGUCAGCUCGUGUCGUGAGAUGUUGGGUUAAGUCCCGCAACGAGCGCAACCCUUAUUUUCAGUUACUAACGCGUGAGGCUGAGGACUCUGAAGAGACUGCCGGGGACAACUCGGAGGAAGGUGGGGACGACGUCAAAUCAUCAUGCCCCUUAUGACCUGGGCUACACACGUGCUACAAUGGCCACGACAGAGAGAAGCGAAAUUGUAAGGUAGAGCGGAACUCAAAAAAGUGGUCCCAGUUCGGAUUGUGGGCUGCAACCCGCCCACAUGAAGUCGGAGUUGCUAGUAAUCGCGGAUCAGCAUGCCGCGGUGAAUACGUUCCC